AGGGCUGUAGUUAAUAAUAACAUUUGAUUUGCAUUCAAAAAGUAUUGAAAUAAACUCAAUCUGCCUUA
rnacentral:tRNA from 1 species